CCUACGGGAGGCAGCAGUGGGGAAUCUUGCGCAAUGCGCGAAAGCGUGACGCAGCAACGCCGCGUGAGGGAAGAAGGCUUUCGGGUUGUAAACCUCUUUCAGGAGGGACGCGGUACCUCCAGAAGAAGCCCCGGCUAACUACGUGCCAGCAGCCGCGGUAAUACGUAGGGGGCUAGCGUUGUCCGGAAUCAUUGGGCGUAAAGAGCGUGUAGGCGGCCCGGUAAGUCCGCUGUAAAAGUCAAAGGCUCAACCUUUGAAUGUCAGUGGAUACUGCCGGGCUAGAGUCCGGAAGAGGCGAGUGGAACUCCUGGUGUAGCGGUGGAAUGCGCAGAUAUCAGGAAGAACACCAACGGCGAAGGCAGCUCGCUAACGGUACUGACGCUGAGACGCGAAAGCGUGGGGAGCGAACAGGAUUAGAUACCCUUGUAGUC
rnacentral:rRNA from 1 species